GGCCUCGUGGCCCAAUGGCAAGGCGUCUGACUACGAGAGAUUUCAUAACAACACUUGAUUUCUUAGAGCGAUCAGGAGAUUCUGGGUUCGACCCCCAGCGAGGUCA